rfam:Stegodyphus mimosarum contig54935, whole genome shotgun sequence.
GCCUUCGUGGUGUAAUGAUCAGCACACUGAGCCGGUAUUUCAGAGGUCCGUGGUUCGACUCCCGCUGAGGGCA